UUUUGUAUGAAGGCUGCGGUGGAAAUGAUAAUAAUUUUCCUUCUAUGGAAGCCUGCUUAAGCCACUGCAAAACCAAAAUGACGGAUUAUGAAAUAAAAUUUUUUCAACGUUUAAAAAAGAAACCAAAUUGCACUAGUACUUAUGAGAAUGGUCCUGUAAUUAGUAUAUCUUCAACGAAACAUCAAAAGAAUGCCAAAGAACAGGCGUUAAGAACGGAGAUGACCAGUUUCCAUCGUUUCGAAAGUGCGUGAAUGAUUGUAGUCCAAAAACCAAAUGGAACCCUUAUUGCAACUAUACCAGAGAUAACG